AGCGAACGCUGGCGGCAGGCCUAACACAUGCAAGUCGAGCGCCCGUAGCAAUACGGGAGCGGCAGACGGGAGAGUAACACGUGGGAACGUACCCUUCGGUUCGGAAUAACCCAGGGAAACUUGGAUUAAUACCGGAUACGUCCGAAAGGAGAAAGAUUUAUCGCCGAAGGAUCGGCCCGCGUCUGAUUAGCUUGUUGGUGAGGUAACGGCUCACCAAGGCGACGAUCAGUAGCUGGUCUGAGAGGAUGAUCAGCCUCACUGGGACUGAGACACGGCCCAGACUCCUACGGGAGGCAGCAGUGGGGAAUAUUGGACAAUGGGCGCAAGCCUGAUCCAGCCAUGCCGCGUGGGUGAUGAAGGCCCUAGGGUUGUAAAGCCCUUUCGGCGGGGAAGAUAAUGACGGUACCCGCAGAAGAAGCCCCGGCUAACUUCGUGCCAGCCGCCGCCGCAGUAAAA
rnacentral:rRNA from 1 species